rnacentral:rRNA from 1 species
UAGCAAUAUCUUGAAGUCGGAGUGGCGCAAGGGUGCGUAACACGUGGGUAAUUUGCCGUGAAGUUGGGGAUAACUCGCUGAAAGGCGAGCUAAUACCGAAUGUGAUGAUUGGGAGGCAUCUUCUGAUCUUCAAAGUUGGGGACCGCAAGGCCUGACGCUUCACGAUAAGCCCGCGGCCUAUCAGCUAGUUGGUGAGGUAACGGCUCACCAAGGCUAAGACGGGUAGCUGGUCUGAGAGGACGACCAGUCACACUGGAACUGAGACACGGUCCAGACACCUACGGGUGGCAGCAGUCGAGAAUUUUUCUCAAUGGGCGAAAGCCUGAAGGAGCGACGCCGCGUGGGGGAUGAAGGGCUUCGGCCCGUAAACCCCUGUCAUUUGCGAACAAACCUUACGGUCUAACACAUCGUGAGCUGAUUGUAGCGAAAGAGGAAGGGACGGCUAACUCUGUGCCAGCAGCCGCGGUAAUACAGAGGUCCCGAGCGUUGUUCGGAUUCACUGGGCGUAAAGGGUGCGUAGGUGGCAGGGUAAGUUUGAUGUGAAAUCUCCGGGCUUAACCCGGAAACUGCAUUGAAUACUAUCUUGCUCGAGGGUUGGAGGGGGGACUGGAAUUUCUCGGUGUAGCA